rfam:Camelus ferus unplaced genomic scaffold scaffold1783, whole genome shotgun sequence.
AGAGAAAUAUCUCAGUGGUAGAGCAUACACUUAGCAUGCAUGAGGUCCUGGGUUCAAUUCCCAGUACCUCUA